UCGAACGGGUGCUCUUCCACCGAAACUCAAAGGACAUUCGCUCGAAUAAUUUUACUUCCUCCGUCGUAUGAAUUCGUACGAGUUCCUUCGAGCCUUGUUACACACAAAACUAGGAAAAUGAAGUAUUGGAUCAUCUUGGCGAUUCCAUGUUUCUAACUUCUAUGGUUGACUUCGUGAUAAAUAGCCUGAACUUCGUUCUUGACAAAUGAGAUCGAUAUCAGUGCCAACGAAAUGUAUUGUCCGUGAAUGUAAUACUUUGGAUAAGAGCGUAAACUUGCUGAAUACAACAGAGUACGAACAUAUCGAUGGAUGGAUCAAAGCAUGUUUGUUUAUAACAAGAAAUUUCUAAUCGACAUAUAAAGAUUUGGGUGAAAAAGAUUUCUCUCGCUGGCCAACUGGUCCCAGGUGUGUACACUGGGAGCGUGGCAGACGCGUGCUUCUCCCCUCUUUAACCUCAGUCGAACGCAGUUGCUUUUACAUGCUUCUUCAUUCUUUCUAUAGGAUAUGAAAUCUUUGUAGAAGAAACAGAUCCUGAAAGUUAUCUGAGAUACGAAAACGCUUAUUUCACAGACAGAUAGAUGCAACGUGGAUGGAACAAAUCAAAUUAAAGUACGAAGGAAAAAUAGCGUAUACUUAGUAUCUAUUAAACACAGAUAAACAUAGAUCUUUACGAUCCAAGUCGUUUUAAGGUUAAAUAGAAACGCAUAAAUCAUGGAAGAGACAAAAGGAGAAGAAAUUUACACCUUUAUAAUGCAAAUUAAUAGCUCUUCCAAACAUUGCUAUCGAAAAGAAUAAUGAGCCUUGUUUUAGACAAUUAAGAGAAGAAGAACGUAGAAACUGGCCACGUAAGAUUUGCAUUUGAGAAAGGUGGUAAUUAUUUGCAACGGAAUAACGCAAUUAUCAAAUUGACCCUCGCACCCUCACAUAAUUACUCGCGACUUCAGGAUUUAAGUGGAUAAUCAUUGGGAAUUGGCGAACUGUUCGUUGAACGUUGAAAUUUGGCAAGCAUCAGAAUGUGGGGCGCCAGGUCGUCAAUGCGUACCAUGUAAUUUAUGUUGAAUGUAUGUAUACAUCUCACGUGGAUACUGGCGGUAGAUUUUAACGCUGAAUUUCGAAUUUAUUUUGCGUGAAUUUUUCACGAUAAUCUGUUUCCGCAUAAAAAUUUCAACCUAUCGUAAUACGAUAAUCGUGUCGUGCUUCAAUUGCGAAAAGAACAAUCGUGUUCCUAGUUAAAUUUCUUUAUGUUAGUCAAAGAAUUAGAUUCGUUUAAUUUCCUUUAUAUUUACACGGAAAUCUUCUAACGUGUGUAUUUUCUACAGGUAUCCCUUGCUUUCAAAUCUUUACGUAUAUUUUAAUUACACCUAUACGUAAUUUCAAGACACGUGCACAUUUUUCACUUUCAAGAUGUUAUUUAAUAUUAAUUGGUCGUUAUUAAAACAAAGUAUCGGAGAUUAAGGUUACCGAUGAGCGAAAAUUGACAGAGUUGGUGUAGUGGCAGCAACCUAACAGUAGGAGGAAAAUGAAAUUUUACUCUCAAUCAGAGAGCCACUCGAUCACACAGGAGGGUGCCAUAUUGUUACGUUCUAACCAUUCUCUUCUUCUUCUUUAUUUCUUUCUUCUUCCAUAAUCUUUUCCUCUGGUUUGGAUCAACUGUUGUUUUACGAGGACUCUUUAGCCUCGGCAGACGGCCCAUUGUAUCGCUUAUUUCAAUGCGCGGAUUGUUUUCAAAAAGAAAGCACGAUUGUUUCAUCUUUUUCUUUUUUUUUUUAGCUUCCUCCUCUUUGAUGUUCUGCUAUUUACCGAUAGUAGCGUAUCGAAUGUACGGCUAUUAAGAAUCUAUGAAAUUGUUAAUGAUAGUUUUAGAAAGGAAAUGCACGAAAUCUUAACUUUCAGCGAGAAUCGUAAGACACCUUGUUCUUUAACAUCUUGCGAGACAGUUGCGCGAUGGUGAUUUCUGAAAUUUUUUCAAUUUCUGCUGUUUGUCGUUUACGUUUCGAGAAAUUCUUCAACGAAACGAUGGUACAAAUCGUUUUUGCCUGUCGUAAUACGAAUCACUGGAAUGGUUCGGGCCACCAUGAUUUCGAAGCUAUUUUCUACGUGGGUCGUUCGAGGCUUCUGGAAAUCAAUUUUUCCCCUCUGGCGCCAAUUAACCAGAAUUUUCUCAACUUCGACGUAGGUCCUUUGGUGCAUGGUAGUUUCAAACUUUAACUUUGGGAAAGUUAAUCGCUCCUUCCGUUUUUCUUUUGCCUCGCUUCAGUUCAGCCAAUAUAAUUUGUCGAAUUCAUUCUCAUGUCCACGUGAUCUAUCAUCGUAUCAAGGACGAAAAAACGCAUUAAAACAAUGCAUUUUCUCUUUGGUUAUUUCGUACUUGAAAUAUUUUUGAAAUAAAUGCUUCGUUUACUUUUAUUUUUCAUAUUAUCUUUUAUUUUCCAAAGUCUGCUUGAAUAGAUAUAGCAGAGUAAUGAUAUCAUAAAUCUUAAUGAAGCAAAGUUAUUAGUAGACACAUUCGUAGAAGCAUCGUGAAUUUAUCUGAAGUUUCUAAUUUGGCCUUCCAUUCAAUACGAUGGGAAGAAUAUAAUCGGCUUAUAUACAUUUAGUUGAAUAAAUCCAGGAAAAUGUGCCUACUAUCUUUUUCUCCUUCUACCUAUUUAUCUCCUUUUGAACAAAUUGAUGCACAGUCGUCGCGACGAGACGAAAGUUGCACAAAAGCUUAAAUCACGAUAGACCGUGGAUACCGGCUAGUUAGGAGAGUUUUGAUGAAUCCUAAUCUUGUGAAAUAUAUGCGUGAAUAACGAGCCACGACGGCCAUGGUGCGUUUGAAUUAAAACAUAUUAUCCUUGUCUAUCCUACCGACUAAUAUCUACUAAAUGGCGACUAAUACCAAUCCUAUUCAUACGGAUGAUAUGCUUCAAUGUGACGUUUACUUUUAUAUACUAGAAUGUCAUAAUCUGACGCCAUCCACGCAGCUUCAUCAUCUUUUAACAUAUUUAGUAUCAGACAGUUAACGUUUAACAGAUCAGAGACUCGAGCGAAAUCUUUGUAAAACGGAAGAAUUCCUUUCUUUUUCCAAUUCGAUUAUUCCUUCCAUGCUCCGUUUAACGUUAACUAAUUAGAAUAUAAUUGGAAUAUUUAUAUAACUUGACUUAAUUUAAUUUAACUUAAUUUAUAUAACUUAAAUUCGAUCGUAGUAUAUGAUACGGUAAAAGAUAAAAAAGCAAAAGUGUUGGUAGUUCGGUUUCAGUCGAAAGUCGUGGGAACCGUUUUGAUAGAAUAGGAGAACGGACGACGUAGGAAGGUAGGAGAAGGAAACGAAGAAUCUUGGUGGAAGAUACAAAAGGGAAAAGAGAAGAAAGGGAAGGAAGGUAAAGCCGAGCAAAGUUUGAACGAUGGGAUGAGAUCGUUGGUUCUGAUUCCAAGCAAAAAUUCGUGAUACAAUGCGAGCGUUUUCAUUCCAAAUAACGUAAAUUCAAUGUAUAUCCUGUUUUAUUUACGAACUUCGAUUAACGACAUAUCGUUGUAUUUAACUACUUGCUCUCUACAACCUGCUUACUCGCAACGUUAAAUAAAAUUAUAAUUGCAAUAAAAUUACAGUUGUUUAUUCGGAAAAGCAUAGAAAUUUCAAAUAAUAAUCAUAAAAUUGUACGAUUAUAACGUUAUAACAGAAUUCCUGUCCAACUUACUAAAUAU